GUUUUACGAUUGUUUGCACCAUACUCAAAUUCAUGGGGCUGCGUGCCUGAACGUCCCAACACUGCUGGACCUUCAGCAAAAAAAAUCUAAAAGUGUGUCCUACACCCAUCGUUUUUUUGCCUAUCCAAAAGAAAGGAAUGUGAGGUCCCAAGUCCCUCAGUGAAAAACAAAUUAGAGAGGUCAGGGAUAGGAGAAAAGAGGAUAACCUUUCCAGACAAAUACUGCACUCCACAGGAUUUUUCAAACCAUCUUUUUCAGCAUUUCCCCAUCCUGAAAGAGUGUGGCAGUUUCCAGCUCUUGCGAUCCAGAGGAUCAACACGUUCAAAAAAUAUUAGAGACAAUACCCUGUCCAGACGAUGGCUAUUGCCCUGAAUACCUCUUAAGUGAGUCAGUCAUGAUUGGGCAGGCUGUCAUAUAUAUCAGGCCACUCCAGAAAGAUAUAGAUGUGCAGAAUCUUAAGAGUGACCAGCCUGGACACUGGACCACUGACAGAAUGCUUGUACUGCAAUACGAAGUAUAGCCUGUCAGAAAUACAAGACCAUGUUGAUGUUUGUGAAAAAGUGGAAGAUUGAGCCUGAUCUUGAAACAGCUGCCCGGCUGUUUCGAAGACAUAUCUUAAAGAAUGCUGAGGACAAACCAGACCUAGUUGUUACACUAGAUCUACACAGCUGUGAAAAGGAUCGAGAACGGGAAAUGUUAACUUUUUAUAAACGUACAAAUAUUGAUUGGACAAGUCCAUUUACUGUAAAACUGAAAGGAGAUGCUGCAUUAGGGGAUGGAGUAACACGGCACUUUUUCACAUUGGUAAUGGAUAAGCUCCACAAUGGAUUUGAACUGGACAUUGGUAAGUUACAAUUUCCGGAAUUUCCAAAUUUAAAGUUGAAUGUAUCUUGGACAUACCAUUUCUUUGACCUCCACUUUAGUUAGGGUAAUACAAAGGGUAGGCAAA